AGUGACAAGUGGGGCAUGGGUGUCGUCAGCUCGUGUCGUGAGAUGUUGGGUUAAAUCCCGCAACGAGCGCAACCCUUGAUCUUAUUUGCCCCCAUUUUUUUGGGCACUCUAAAGUGACUGCCCGUGACACACCGGAGGAAAGUGGGGAUGACAUCAAAUCAUCAUGCCCCUUAUGACCUGGGCUACACACGUGCUACAAUGGACAAAACAAAAGGGUGCGAGACCGCAAGGUUUAGCCAAUCCCCCAAAUCUGUUCUCAGUUCGGAUCGCAAUCUGCAACUCUACUGCGUGAAACUGGAAUCUCUAUUAAUCUCGGAUCUCCAUGCCCCGGUGAAUACAUUCCCGGGUCUUGUACACACCGA
rnacentral:rRNA from 1 species